UUAAUAAUCCCACCUUUGCCUAUUCUGCUCAAAACAAUCCCACCUUUUCGAAAUCUGGAAACAAACCCACCUUUUACACCCAUCUUCUUAUAACAAGCCCUAUUCAUUUUUUUACCGGUUAAUUUAAUUAAUCUUUUUUUUUUUUUUUCCGGUUUACUCUUAUAAUUUUAUCAAAUUACCGUUGAGAUCAAUUAAUUCCCCAUUAAAUCCCCAACUGUACUACUUCUCUCCCUCUCUGCCAUUUCCCUUAAAUUCGCACCUCCUCCAUUCAAUUUUCUCACUCCUUUUCAUUUAUCUUUUGCUCUAAGUUAUUUCUGUCUUCUGCAAUGGCAAGUCACCACUCUCUUGGCUCAACAUCAAGGUCUAGGUCGAGGUUAUCUCCCUCCUCGUUUCAGAUUUAUUGCUACCACAAUGAAAUAGCUCCAUUGAGGACGGUGAAGUACGAUGGUCCGCACAAAGGGAAGCGAUUUUUCGGGUGUUCUUAUUGGCCGGAACAGAGGACUUGCGGUUUCUUUAAAUGGGUGGAUGAGGUGGAUGAUGUUCGUGAUUUGCAAUGGAUUGUUUGUGAAUUGCUGACAAGGUGGACUCGCUGAAAGAAAAGAUACGAAAGCUGAAGGGAAAAAACGAGAAAUUGGAGGACGAUGUUGCGGAAAUGGGGAUAGCCACCACUGAAACCUUGUAUAAGAUGAAGGAAAGCAACAGAGACAAGAAUUUAAUUAUGUGUUUGGUGUUAUCCUGGGCUUUUUUCACUUUAGUUUUAGUGUUUAAGGAAUUUCUGUAGGAAUGUGGUAGUGCGGAUGGUAGGGGAUGGUGAUGGUUUUUUUUUUUGGUAUGUCUUAGGUUGGUGGGUUAAUGUUGUGGGGUGUAUCUCCUUUUGGGUAAAAUAUGUGCAUGUAAAGCUGAUGAUGGUGAUGUUUAUGGAUGUAGUAGCCUGUAAUAAUGCAGCAUUGUAGUACUUUUGUGGGGGUGAUAUUGUCUUAGAUGAAAAUAGUAGGGGCUGCAUUAUCUAACUUUAUUUUGUGGAAAUGCUUCAGUGAAUGAAAAAUGAUGACUUUAUGGAAUA